rnacentral:tRNA from 1 species
GCGCCCUUAGCUCAGCGGAUUAGAGCGUCUGUCUUCGGAACAGAAGGUCGUAGGUUCGAAUCCUGCAGGGCGUACCA